UACGUAGGGUGCAAGCGUUAAUCGGAAUUACUGGGCGUAAAGCGUGCGCAGGCGGUUAUGCAAGACAGAUGUGAAAUCCCCGGGCUUAACCUGGGAACUGCAUUUGUGACUGCAUGGCUAGAGUGCGGCAGAGGGGGAUGGAAUUCCGCGUGUAGCAGUGAAAUGCGUAGAUAUGCGGAGGAACACCGAUGGCGAAGGCAAUCCCUGGGCCUGCACUGACGCCUCAUGCACGAAAGCGUGGGGAGCAAACAGG
rnacentral:rRNA from 1 species